rnacentral:rRNA from 1 species
UAAUAAAGUGUGUUACUCUUACAAGCAGAAGCGACUCUAGGGGAAAGAGGAUAGGAAUAAGAGAGUCGACUGGGUGUUUAACGUCGAUGGCCAGUCUAGGUUAGUCAAACGAAAGAAAUGAGCGACGUAACUCCAACGAGCAGGAGGUGGACUUAGGUGAGGCGUCGACCAAGACGAUGUCCAAAUCGUAGCUGCCGUCGACCAAACCGACGAGCAUGCGGAGUAGCCAGAGAACAUUUACCGCUACCUCCCAUCGUCCGGAGUUCCUAAUCGACGCGGUCCCUCUAUCGCUCUAGCUGAACCAGUACCUAAAGUAGAGGACGCCCGAGCGUCAGGAGAACCUAGGUCGAAAUCAUACUCCUACGACUGCCGCAAAAGAAGGGGUUCUCGCGUUCGGUCUUCGUAGCAGAUAUAUAGCCGAGCUCCGUCGAGCCGUGAAGUGUCGUUGUAAUAAGCUUCAAGUUGGACGUCCAUCAACGAAACGCAUGAUAGCGUUGAGUCUACCUCGACCACCGUAGUUCUGUACUUGGGUGAUAGCUUAAAUUCCAGACUAGAUAUUAAAGUACUUCUAACAUGGACCUCCACCAAACUAACGAGCUGCCUCGGCCGACCACGGACGACCUCCUUCUGUUACUUCAACUGGAGCUUCUUGUACUCUAAAACCAACAUACACCUGAGACUUCUCUAUAAGAAGAUAAACCUCUCUAACUUAGAGACAUGUAACAAACACUCUAAAACCUAAACAAACCUCUCAAAAGUAGAAACAUGUCCAAGUACAAAAAAACACACCCUCCUAGUACUCUCAAAAAAGUACAAUACCAACGGCUCUCUUAUAUUGGACAUCCGUGAUAAAAAAUCUUCCAGACCAGCGAACACGAUAACAGAUCGGACAAAUCUAGUCC